UGAUAAGAUGGAGGUCAUGGAAACUCAUCAAACCCUGUCAUCCAUCAUAUAAAAAAUUUGAUCAGCUCGAGUCUAAUUAUGAAACUCAAGGAAAUACCUUUCCAUCAGUCAUGUUACAGUGGUCAUUAACUUAAGGACUCAGCUUCUCAAAUCUCAUAGGACUGUUCCCUAUCUACUAAGAUCGAUAGAUCUCCUAUAAGUGCACACUCUACUCCUACAGCAAACCUACUGCAGCCAAAGAAUACUGUAAGGCCCUGAAUGGCUAGAGACCAUCUUUAUAUGUUCUCAAACUAUAACAAUCUCACUAUGAGCAGUUGAGGCACCAC
rnacentral:lncRNA from 1 species